AUCGAACGCUGGCGGCAAGCCUAACACAUGCAAGUCGAACGGAGUGGCGGACGGGUGAGUAAUGCCUAGGAAUCUGCCUGGUAGUGGGGGAUAACGUCCGGAAACGGGCGCUAAUACCGCAUACUAUCAGAUGAGCCUAGGUCGGAGUAGCUAGAUGGUGGGGUAAAGGCCUACCAAGGCGACGAUCCGUAACUGGUCUGAGAGGAGGAUCAGUCACACUGGAACUGGGACGCGGUCCAGAUGCAUACGGAAGGCAGCAGUGGGGAAUAUUGGACAAUGGGCGAAAGCCGGAUCCAGCCAUGCCGGGUGUGUGAGGAGGGUCUUCGGAUUGUAAAGCACUUUAAGUUGGGAGGCGUUACCGAAAGAAAAAGCACCGGCUAACUUCGUGCCAGCAGCCGCGGUAAUUC
rnacentral:rRNA from 1 species